rnacentral:rRNA from 1 species
CGAAUCCCGCGGCCGAUACCGGGCGCCGGGAAAUGUGGUGUUUGGGAGGGUCCAUUAUCCCGAGAUCAUGCGGUGCGUCCAAGUCCUUCUUGAACGGGGCCACAGCCCACAGAGGGUGCCAGGCCCGUAGUGACUGCUGCUGAUCGCGGGAGGAUCUCUCCUCAGAGUCGGGUUGCUUGAGAGUGCAGCCCUAAGUGGGUGGUAAACUCCAUCUAAGGCUAAAUAUGACCACGAGACCGAUAGCGAACAAGUACCGUGAGGGAAAGUUGAAAAGCACUUUGAAGAGAGAGUUCAAGAGUACGUGAAACCGUUUAGGGGUAAACCUGAGAAACCCGAAAGGUCGAAGGGAGAAAUUCAUUCGCGUUUCGCUGUCGGCGUGAGACGGGAUUGUGUGACGGAGAACGUGUUCGCACGUUUUCCGCGCCUUCCGUUUUUCGAACCGAUGGUGAACGCGUGCACUUUUCUCCUGGUAGAACGUCGCGAUCCGUUGGGUGUCGGUCUACGGCUCGUGGUGGAGCCCGACAGUACGGCUUGCCGUUACGGUCGGACCCACGUGUCCUGGCUGACUCGCUCGACGGUAUGCGAAAGGUUUAAGGCCGCUCUCGGAGCGUUUGACUCGUGGCAAGCGCGUCAGAUGUGUGUCGGCGACCGGACCUAGUGCCGGUUCUGACCUCUGAUGACUGUUGGCUGCGAAGUUCUCGAACAGACCUCUAACCGAUCUGCGACGCUAUAGCUUUGGGUACUUUCAGGACCCGUCUUGAAACACGGACCAAGGAGUCUAGCAUGUGCGCGAGUCAUUGGGAAACUCUAAACCUAAAGGCGCAAUGAAAGUAAAGGUCCGCCUUGCGCGGACUUAGGGAAGACGAGCGGUUUACCCUUAAAGUAGCCGCUCCGCAUUCCCGGGGCGUCUCAUUCUCAUUGCGAGAAGAGGCGCACCAAGAGCGUACACGCUGGGACCCGAAAGAUGGUGAACUAUGCCUGGUCAGGACGAAGUCAGGGGAAACCCUGAUGGAGGUCCGUAGCGAUUCUGACGUGCAAAUCGAUCGUCGGAACUGGGUAUAGGGGCGAAAGACUAAUCGAACCAUCUAGUAGCUGGUUCCCUCCGAAGUUUCCCUCAGGAUAGCUGGCGCUCGUUUCUAACGAGUCUCAUCCGGUAAAGCGAAUGAUUAGAGGCAUUGGGGUCGAAACGACCUCAACCUAUUCUCAAACUUUAAAUGGGUGAG